rnacentral:rRNA from 1 species
UACGGAGGAUGCGAGCGUUAUCCGGAUUUAUUGGGUUUAAAGGGUGCGUAGGCGGACUGUCAAGUCAGCGGUAAAAUUGAGAGGCUCAACCUCUUCCCGCCGUUGAAACUGGUGGUCUUGAGUGGAUGAGAAGUACGCGGAAUGCGUGGUGUAGCGGUGAAAUGCAUAGAUAUCACGCAGAACUCCGAUUGCGAAGGCAGCGUACGGGCAUCCAACUGACGCUGAGGCACGAAAGCGUGGGGAUCAAACAGG